rnacentral:rRNA from 1 species
AUACGUAGGGUGCAAGCGUUAUCCGGAAUUAUUGGGCGUAAAGAGCUCGUAGGCGGUCUGUCGCGUCUGCUGUGAAAACCCGAGGCUCAACCUCGGGCCUGCAGUGGGUACGGGCAGACUAGAGUGCGGUAGGGGAGAUUGGAAUUCCUGGUGUAGCGGUGGAAUGCGCAGAUAUCAGGAGGAACACCGAUGGCGAAGGCAGAUCUCUGGGCCGUAACUGACGCUGAGGAGCGAAAGGGUGGGGAGCAAACAGGCUUAGAUACCCUGGUAGUCCACCCCGUAAACGUUGGGAACUAGUUGUGGGGACCAUUCCACGGUUUCCGUGACGCAGCUAACGCAUUAAGUGCCCCGCCUGGGGAGUACGGCCGCAAGGCUAAA